rnacentral:rRNA from 1 species
GCGGAAGGUCUAACACAUGCAAGUCGAACGGUAACAUUUCUAGCUUGCUAGAAGAUGACGAGUGGCGGACGGGUGAGUAAUGCUUGGGAACUUGCCUUUGCGAGGGGGAUAACAGUUGGAAACGACUGCUAAUACCGCAUAAUGUCUUCGGACCAAACGGGGCUUCGGCUCCGGCGCAAAGAGAGGCCCAAGUGAGAUUAGCUAGUUGGUAAGGUAACGGCUUACCAAGGCGACGAUCUCUAGCUGUUCUGAGAGGAAGAUCAGCCACACUGGGACUGAGACACGGCCCAGACUCCUACGGGAGGCAGCAGUGGGGAAUAUUGCACAAUGGGGGAAACCCUGAUGCAGCCAUGCCGCGUGUGUGAAGAAGGCCUUCGGGUUGUAAAGCACUUUCAGUUGUGAGGAAAAGUUAGUAGUUAAUACCUGCUAGCCGUGACGUUAACAACAGAAGAAGCACCGGCUAACUCCGUGCCAGCAGCCGCGGUAAUACGGAGGGUGCGAGCGUUAAUCGGAAUUACUGGGCGUAAAGCGCACGCAGGCGGUUUGUUAAGCUAGAUGUGAAAGCCCCGGGCUCAACCUGGGAUGGUCAUUUAGAACUGGCAGACUAGAGUCUUGGAGAGGGGAGUGGAAUUCCAGGUGUAGCGGUGAAAUGCGUAGAUAUCUGGAGGAACAUCAGUGGCGAAGGCGACUCCCUGGCCAAAGACUGACGCUCAUGUGCGAAAGUGUGGGUAGCGAACAGGAUUAGAUACCCUGGUAGUCCACACCGUAAACGCUGUCUACUAGCUGUGUGUGUCUUUAAGACGUGCGUAGCGAAGCUAACGCGCUAAGUAGACCGCCUGGGGAGUACGGCCGCAAGGUUAAAACUCAAAUGAAUUGACGGGGGCCCGCACAAGCGGUGGAGCAUGUGGUUUAAUUCGAUGCAACGCGAAGAACCUUACCUACACUUGACAUGCUGAGAAGUUACUAGAGAUAGUUUCGUGCCUUCGGGAACUCAGACACAGGU